GUCCCUGUAGCGCAAUGGAUAGCGCGUUGGACUUCUAAUCCAAAGGUCGUGGGUUCAAACACACCUGGAAUG
rnacentral:tRNA from 1 species